CCUGAUGCCCAGUGGCUAAGACUCCACACUCCCAACACAGGGGAUCCGAGUUUGAUCCCUGCUCAGGGCGCUAGAUCCCACAUGCUGCAACUGAGAGUUUGUAUGCCGCAGCUAAUACCCAGUGCAGGCAAAUAAACUAAUUUUUAAAAAUUUUUCUUUAGAAAAAGAUGAUGUUUACUGGUUAACCAUUCACCUGGUAAUACCAUUCCUCAGGUCCUUGCUGUUUAUUGUUUGGCCAAAGAGUUCAAAGUUUCCUAAGACAGGAUCACCUGGAGGUAUUUGUUGAAUGUACAGAUUCUCAGAUCAGCUCAAAAUCUGCAUCUGAACCUUUUAUACGUUAAAGUUUUUAAGAACUGCUAAGUGUCCUUAAGGCAUAUGGUACUUUUUUUUUAAGGCCAUAUACAGGCUACUUUUCAUAAUUCCUUUUUGAAACUGUCUUUAAGGACUGCUCUAAUAGAUGGGCUCUAUCCUAAGUGCUUCUCCCCUUAAGAAGCAUUUUAUUUGGCCUUCUGCCCCACUGUCAGUAGCAUAAGCUGACUGAGUUUCUAUUACCAUUAACGUCCUUCUUUUUAUGCUCCUUGUUCUAUUUUCCUUUGUGUUGCAGUAUAGAUGAAUGAAGAAAAAAGUGAAGACCGAAAGACAUUCAGAAAAGAGAGCAGACAAAAGAGAAGUGAUAGUGAACAAGUGCUAGAAAUACAAGACAGAAACGAGAUUUGGGAAAAAUUUGGGAUAGAUGGAAUCUAUCAUUUGAUAAAUAGCCAUUGCUGCUCCAUGUAGCCAUUCAGUGACCCUCCCUUCUUCCAUCUAGUUUUCUCCACUGAUUCUAUUGCAUCUGGAUAACUAAUGGGGUAAGAAAAAGAACACGACUAAUUGUGAGAGUGAUCAUAAGAUACUAGGCCUAAAAGUGGCAGUGUUAUCUUUGCCCACAGUCUGUUUGCCAUAACUCAGUCAUAUCGCUUCACUUAAAAAGAGUAAGAAAUUUCUAAUAUGUCUCCUUUUCUAAAGGAAAAGGAGAAGCAUGCAUUUAGGUGAGUAGAAGUGUUCUCAACCAUAAACUUCAAUAGAUACAUAAAAAAGAAUUUUUUAAUAGAUGAGAAUGGUUUCUCAGGGGAAUUGUCACAGCUCCCAAAUCUAUGAGAAUUUAAUUGGGAAUGCCACUGCACUUUGGUGAAAAGAGUAUGGGGUUUGAAAUCAGAGUACCUGGUUUUGUGUUUUUCAUAGCUCAUCACUUAUUAACUCUGUAACUUUGCAUGAACAUACCUUUCAUAUAAAUCAGUUUCAUUAACUAUAAAAUGGUGAUGAUACUAAUACUGGUUUUACCUACUGCAUAGGUUGUUUUCAGGGUCACCUGAGGUCAAAGGAAGAGUUUAUUGUAUUCUGUGAAGUGCUGUUCAAAAAUAAGUGCCCUUCCUCUUUGGUCUAUAUUCCACUUUUACCAUGUUGCAUCUCCUGACUAUAAGGAGGACCGAGAAAGAUGCUAAUGCCUACGUUACUGGAAGACUAAACAUUAUUUUCAGUCUUUCUUCAGACAGUGAAUCUUUAUUUUAUAUAUAAAAAUGUAUUUUAGUUCCUGGAUUUGCUGGGGAGGGAACCAAGAUGACAUGUAUUCCUUUUAAACCAGUGUUAAAAUCAAAGAAGCAAAUUGUUAGCAUCCCCAAGUGUUGACUUAUGCCUCAGCUCCUAAAAUUCAAUGUGAAAAAUCUGAAGUGUCCUUAAAGUCACCUCCUUCCUUCUACAGAAGGAAGACUUUUAGAACCGGGUGAUACAUGUAUGGAGUAUGGUCUCUUGAAAUAUUUUCUUGGGGAGAAAAACAGUAGAGGAUAGAUGUACUAUCUCGAAUUUUCCUUGAGUUGAUGUUACUGAACAAGUAGUAUAAUUA
ensembl:lncRNA